GAAUAUGGGGGGACCAUCCUCCAAGGCUAAAUACUCCUGACUGACCGAUAGUGAACCAGUACCGUGAGGGAAAGGCGAAAAGAACCCCGGCGAGGGGAGUGAAAAAGAACCUGAAACCGUGUACGUACAAGCAGUGGGAGCCUCUUUAUGGGGUGACUGCGUACCUUUUGUAUAAUGGGUCAGCGACUUAUAUUCUGUAGCAAGGUUAACCGAAUAGGGGAGCCGAAGGGAAACCGAGUCUUAACUGGGCGUUAAGUUGCAGGGUAUAGACCCGAAACCCGGUGAUCUAGCCAUGGGCAGGUUGAAGGUUGGGUAACACUAACUGGAGGACCGAACCGACUAAUGUUGAAAAAUUAGCGGAUGACUUGUGGCUGGGGGUGAAAGGCCAAUCAAACCGGGAGAUAGCUGGUUCUCCCCGAAAGCUAUUUAGGUAGCGCCUCGUGAAUUCAUCUCCGGGGGUAGAGCACUGUUUCGGCAAGGGGGUCAUCCCGACUUACCAACCCGAUGCAAACUGCGAAUACCGGAGAAUGUUAUCACGGGAGACACACGGCGGGUGCUAACGUCCGUCGUGAAGAGGGAAACAACCCAGACCGCCAGCUAAGGUCCCAAAGUCAUGGUUAAGUGGGAAACGAUGUGGGAAGGCCCAGACAGCCAGGAUGUUGGCUUAGAAGCAGCCAUCAUUUAAAGAAAGCGUAAUAGCUCACUGGUCGAGUCGGCCUGCGCGGAAGAUGUAACGGGGCUAAACCAUGCACCGAAGCUGCGGCAGCGACACUAUGUGUUGUUGGGUAGGGGAGCGUUCUGUAAGCCUGCGAAGGUGUACUGUGAGGUAUGCUGGAGGUAUCAGAAGUGCGAAUGCUGACAUAAGUAACGAUAAAGCGGGUGAAAAGCCCGCUCGCCGGAAGACCAAGGGUUCCUGUCCAACGUUAAUCGGGGCAGGGUGAGUCGACCCCUAAGGCGAGGCCGAAAGGCGUAGUCGAUGGGAAACAGGUUAAUAUUCCUGUACUUGGUGUUACUGCGAAGGGGGGACGGAGAAGGCUAUGUUGGCCGGGCGACGGUUGUCCCGGUUUAAGCGUGUAGGCUGGUUUUCCAGGCAAAUCCGGAAAAUCAAGGCUGAGGCGUGAUGACGAGGCACUACGGUGCUGAAGCAACAAAUGCCCUGCUUCCAGGAAAAGCCUCUAAGCAUCAGGUAACAUCAAAUCGUACCCCAAACCGACACAGGUGGUCAGGUAGAGAAUACCAAGGCGCUUGAGAGAACUCGGGUGAAGGAACUAGGCAAAAUGGUGCCGUAACUUCGGGAGAAGGCACGCUGAUAUGUAGGUGAAGCGACUUGCUCGUGGAGCUGAAAUCAGUCGAAGAUACCAGCUGGCUGCAACUGUUUAUUAAAAACACAGCACUGUGCAAACACGAAAGUGGACGUAUACGGUGUGACGCCUGCCCGGUGCCGGAAGGUUAAUUGAUGGGGUUAGCGGUAACGCGAAGCUCUUGAUCGAAGCCCCGGUAAACGGCGGCCGUAACUAUAACGGUCCUAAGGUAGCGAAAUUCCUUGUCGGGUAAGUUCCGACCUGCACGAAUGGCGUAAUGAUGGCCAGGCUGUCUCCACCCGAGACUCAGUGAAAUUGAACUCGCUGUGAAGAUGCAGUGUACCCGCGGCAAGACGGAAAGACCCCGUGAACCUUUACUAUAGCUUGACACUGAACAUUGAGCCUUGAUGUGUAGGAUAGGUGGGAGGCUUUGAAGUGUGGACGCCAGUCUGCAUGGAGCCGACCUUGAAAUACCACCCUUUAAUGUUUGAUGUUCUAACGUUGGCCCCUGAUCGGGGUUGCGGACAGUGUCUGGUGGGUAGUUUGACUGGGGCGGUCUCCUCCUAAAGAGUAACGGAGGAGCACGAAGGUUGGCUAAUCCUGGUCGGACAUCAGGAGGUUAGUGCAAUGGCAUAAGCCAGCUUGACUGCGAGCGUGACGGCGCGAGCAGGUGCGAAAGCAGGUCAUAGUGAUCCGGUGGUUCUGAAUGGAAGGGCCAUCGCUCAACGGAUAAAAGGUACUCCGGGGAUAACAGGCUGAUACCGCCCAAGAGUUCAUAUCGACGGCGGUGUUUGGCACCUCGAUGUCGGCUCAUCACAUCCUGGGGCUGAAGUAGGUCCCAAGGGUAUGGCUGUUCGCCAUUUAAAGUGGUACGCGAGCUGGGUUUAGAACGUCGUGAGACAGUUCGGUCCCUAUCUGCCGUGGGCGCUGGAGAACUGAGGGGGGCUGCUCCUAGUACGAGAGGACCGGAGUGGACGCAUCACUGGUGUUCGGGUUGUCAUGCCAAUGGCACUGCCCGGUAGCUAAAUGCGGAAGAGAUAAGUGCUGAAAGCAUCUAAGCACGAAACUUGCCCCGAGAUGAGUUCUCCCUGACUCCUUGAGAGUCCUGAAGGAACGUUGAAGACGACGACGUU
rnacentral:rRNA from 1 species